GACGAACGCUGGCGGCGUGCCUAAUACAUGCAAGUUGAGCGCUGAAGGUUGGUACUUGUACCAACUGGAUGAGCAGCGAACGGGUGAGUAACGCGUGGGGAAUCUGCCUUUGAGCGGGGGACAACAUUUGGAAACGAAUGCUAAUACCGCAUAAAAACUUUAAACACAAGUUUUAAGUUUGAAAGAUGCAAUUGCAUCACUCAAAGAUGAUCCCGCGUUGUAUUAGCUAGUUGGUGAGGUAAAGGCUCACCAAGGCGAUGAUACAUAGCCGACCUGAGAGGGUGAUCGGCCACAUUGGGACUGAGACACGGCCCAAACUCCUACGGGAGGCAGCAGUAGGCAAUCUUCGGCAAUGGACGAAAGUCUGACCGAGCAACGCCGCGUGAGUGAAGAAGGUUUUCGGAUCGUAAAACUCUGUUGGUAGAGAAGAACGUUGGUGAGAGUGGAAAGCUCAUCAAGUGACGGUAACUACCCAGAAAGGGACGGCUAACUACGUG
rnacentral:rRNA from 1 species